GCGCCCGUAGCUCAGCUGGAUAGAGCACCGGCCUUCUAAGCCGGGGGUCCCGCGUUCGAGUCGCGGCGGGCGCACCA
rnacentral:tRNA from 1 species